rnacentral:lncRNA from 1 species
GUGGGGACCUGCGGGUGGGGGACCACCCUCUUCACCGCUGCACAUUUGGAGCGGAGAGGGCCAGAAGCCUGGGGAAGACAGCGCGGAACGCCGGCUUUAGCCGCUCGGAUGUCAGGACGGUCCCCAGUCCAGUCUUAGGCCCCUGCGCCUGGCGCGUGGCGUCACAGCCAAGUCCUUUUCUUCCUCGAAGGGAGCCGGCCUUCGAUCCCUCGGAGGGUGGAGAUUCCUCACGUUCCCUCCUCUCGCUCCCCCGGGUGGGAUGUGGGAUUAGGCUGGAGUGAAUAUUCCGUGUGCUCUAUAAUUACGCACACACUGAAAUCUUCACCGUUGACUUAAGUUACUUGGCGCUGCGAGGGCUAGGGCCCCGCGUAUUGAUUAAACGCAGCCUCUAUUUACCUAAACAAUAAAUGCAGAGAUUAGCAACGUUCACUUGAUCACAGCGAUGGGGUUGACAAUUAAGGGGCAAUGCGUCCCAGAUGUAACCGAGCCAGUGGAGGCGAGGGGGCGGACUGCAGGCUUCUCGGAGGCGGGCGCUCGCGGGCUGCGGCGGUGAAGGUGCAGUGCGGGGCGCCGAGCAUGGGGCGGAGCGGGGAUCACGGCAGGAGGCGGACCGGAGGCUCCGCCACAGGGAGGCCUAUGGCCACCCGGCCGGGGAGCCCCGCCGCUGGCGUUGGGGGACCCGAACACCCCCACUCCCAGGGUUGGCAUCUGGAGCGCGGAGUCUCUCUCCCCGAGGCUGUCACCUGCCUCAAGGCCGUCUCGCCCGCUGCCGCCUGGCAGGGAAGGAGGAUCGACGCCGCUGGCGCGUGCCCGAACACAGACAAAAGGAUUUGUCCCAAACACCCAUGGACAAGCCAGGACGGAGCCCUUUCCCGCCAAACCACUAAGGCCGGGAAAUAAACGGCGCCUGCCCAGGCUCUGGGCGCGAGAGCCCUCAAGAACACUUCAAUGGCUCUGGAAAAAACUGGCAGGAAUUUCCUUGUCGUGAGAAGACGGACGAGUGUCUGCAGCACAGGAGACAACUACAAACAGACUUUGGGGCGGGAAAGAGGGCGGGAGGAGGGAGCUGGCAGGGGCCAGCUUUGAUCGCCUCGGCUCUGUUGUAUAUUUGCCUUCUCCAGUUUAGAUUAGCUGAAACAGUCAGCUCUAGCGAGGAGUUCUGUUCCAAGGAGCUCCCCCUCCCUCGUCAGCGCCCCCUCCCCAAUGUCUUCUGCACGCGGGGAGCUGGGUCGCGGCUCUUCCCGAAGUCGCGCCUGAAACUUCAAGGGCUAAUGGUUCUGUGUUCUGCCGUAAUUAGGAGGCCACACAGCUCUCCAACACACCGUUAAAACAAAUCUGUAAGUCAUCCUACCCCUCUCCGGGACAGACCCGGGGAAAGGCGGCAGCUGGGGCCGCUCCCGGCUGCGUGCUCCGCGGGGGGAGUGGAGUCGCUGUGAAUCCCGGCCUCGGUCUUUCUAAGCUCUUCCUUAGAAAGAAGAGAAAAGGGGCAAAGAAUGGGCACCUCGCCAUCCACCAAGCGAGCAAGGAGAGCCUGUGUCUUUGCUUGAAAAGUUGUCAGAAUAAAUAGCUCUGGUGGUUCUAAGCAGUGAUGAAGAGAGGCUGGGUCUGAGUCUUCUCCAGAACAGUGAGAUAAUGGGAAGGUUAUGGAGUCGUCCUCCCCCCAUCUCUUUUCUUUUCCCCACUCCGUAAAAAUCAGCCAUAUAAAUCGUUUGCAUUGUUUAAGGUACAUUGAUCAAUCUAAUGGCUUGUAAUGGGCUCCUAAUUGCCACUUGCAGAGUUCUGCAGGCUCCUGUUUGAACAGGACAGUUUCUUGAUUCCAGCAGAAGCCCACCUUAAUCUUCAAACUGGUUGAUUACAGACCCAGGAAGAGCACUAGGAUGGCCAGGCCACAGCAGCCUCAGACCCUCAGGGGAGAGAGGAAAGGGGACUUAACUAGGGAUGUUUGCUAUCCUUUUUGUUCUUUUUUCAAAUUUCACUAAGGAGCAAAACCCAGACUGUGAUUUAUUGAUUAGUUAGACAGAUGAUUUUGCUUUUAUCAGACAAGAAAUCUUCCUUAUUUGCAUUCCUUGUGUCUGUAUAUAAUACAGCAAAGAAGUUCCUUGGACACAAACUGUUCUCAGUCAUACUUCUUUUUAUUUACUUAUUUCUAACAGGGCAACACUAGGAAUUGUGAUAGUAAAUCAUAGGGCUGGGGGGGGGGUAGGGUUUAGGGAACACUUGUAGAAGAAAAGCCAAACUUUCUCCAACAGGCAUAUUAGGUAUGCCUAAAGUCCUGUUUCAUAACUUGCAGUUGCGCCUCCUCUAAAGCCUGGAUGGAGGAAGGAGAGUUGGAAGUCUCCUCAAAGGCUGCCUAUGAAAGUGUAAAACUGAGGAAACUAAUAUGCUGGCAAGAAGCUGAUGAAUGACCAGAAUUCCUUGGCCUUUGGGUUUUUAAAAAAUAUUAACUUAGGGUCUGUGUGAAAGAUUGCUUUAGUGUCUACAAAGAUGGUUCCAUCAGAGUUGGCUGAGACAACAAAUGUGUUCCAUUUUGGUAGAAAAGCGAAGUUGCUCAGUCGUGUCUGAUUCUUUGAAACCCCAUGGACUGUAGCCCACCAGGCUCCUCCGUACAUGGGAUUUUCCAGGCAAGAGUACUGGAGUGGGUUGCCAUUUCCUUCUCAAGGGGAUCUUCCUGAUCCAGGGAUCAAACCCGGGUCUCCCACAUUGUAAGGCAGAUGCUUUACUGUCUGAGCCACCAGGGAAGUCCAAUUUUGGUAGAAAUGCCCUAAAAAAGAAGGAAGCCAACAUUUACUUAGGUCUAAGACCCCUCUAUAGUAGUUGGUGAUGGAGGGAGGGAAGGUAAAACCCCAAGGAGAAUAGGCCCCCCAUAGUUUCCAAGUAAGGCAGUAAACAAAUCUAUGAUGCUUGUCGAAUAAUCUUCCAAUAAUUGCAGUCAUUAAAAUCAUCACAGUCUACAGACACCUUCCUUUCUUUGACACACCAGAGUCUUUCAUUUAAUUGUUCAUGCAUUUUUGGCUCAGAUAAACAGAUCAAGGCAGGCUGAAAAUAUAUAGCCCAGAUACAUCUAGCAGCAGAAAAUUAGUUGUGUGGCAAAGGUGUGGAGUGUCCUUAAUAGACUAAGGUCUAUUCAGUAGACCUUAGAGACAAAAAGGAUUUGCCUCUCCUCCCAUCUCUAAAGAGCAGUAACACUUCCGAGGUAGAGGAAAGAUGAAAGUUCCAGUGUCCUCUUGAGCCUUUCUGCCUCUUUUAUUUGCAAGGGUUGGGAUGGAAUGAUGGUGUUAUAGAAGAAAUAUUAAGUGAAAACUCAAUGGAAGUUGUGGUAGAGUUUCUCAAUUUUCAAUUAAUUUUCUCCAUCCAGUUGAUCUCAAGGCUAGUGCUUUUAAAAAUAUAGCUAUGUGUCCAUGAUAAAAGAUUCCCUUCUAAUUAAAAGCUGCAUUUAAUUGUCACCCACUAUUGACAAACUCCAACUGAGGAAAAGCUUCAGUGGACUCAACAACCUUACCUCUGUACUGGCGUCUUCAGCCCCUGUUCAUGGCAGGUAACUGUGGUGCACAAGGGCAGCUUUCCCUGUGUGUGGGGUGUUUUUUUUGUUGUUUGUUUUGCUUUUAACUCGUUAUUAAUGUAUCUCCCCAACUCCCACACCGUGCUGACCUGAUAAUCACUGCUGUAGUGUAGAUCAUGCAAAUGAAAAGCAUAAUUAAUUGCGCCUAUUAUUCAGAAAGGGAGCCUGGUGGCUAAGCAAAUAAAUAAAGGCAUGAGAGAGGAGGACAGGUCAGAUAAAUGCUUUUUUUAGGGCUCCUCUUCUGGCCCUCUCCUCGCCCCUGGCCAUCCUGGUCCGGGUGGCUGAGGCUUUGACAGCAG